UGCAGCAUAUCAAAAAGCGGAGGAAAAGAAACCAACAGGGAUUGCCUCAGUAACGGCGAGUGAAGCGGCAAAAGCUCAAAUUUGAAAUCCCCCGGGAAUUGUAAUUUGAAGAGAUUUGGGUCCGGCCGGCGGGGGUUAAGUCCACUGGAAAGUGGCGCCACAGAGGGUGACAGCCCCGUGAACCCCUUUAACGCCCUCAUCCCAGAUCUCCAAGAGUCGAGUUGUUUGGGAAUGCAGCUCUAAGUGGGUGGUAAAUUCCAUCUAAAGCUAAAUACCGGCGAGAGACCGAUAGCGAACAAGUACAGUGAUGGAAAGAUGAAAAGCACUUUGAAAAGAGAGUGAAAAAGUACGUGAAAUUGUUGAAAGGGAAGGGCUUGCAAGCAGACACUUAACUGGGCCAGCAUCGGGGCGGGCGGGGAAGCAAAACCCACCGGGGGAAGUACCUUUUGGAGGAUUUUAACCCGGGUCCUCAAUCUCCAUAGUCGCCCCGAGGCCUGCAAUCUAAAGACGAAGCGUCUCAAUAGG
rnacentral:rRNA from 1 species